UGGUAUAAGUAAUAAUUCUUUUUUUUUUUAUGCAUUAGAAAUAUAUUAUAUAUAUAAAGGUUGUAUGCAUAAGAUUUUGUUCUUUAAGACUAUCUUUUUGAUGUUUCGUGGGCAUGUUGGUAUAAGUAAUAAUUCUUUUUUUUUUUUUUGCAACUACAUAAUUAUUUAUCUUUAUUAUUAGUAUUUUCAUAGUGAAUGACUAUAUUUCUUAUAUACCGUCCAAAUCUUUUCUUUUCCGGUGGUUUUUCAGGUUUUUUUUUUCUUUUUUUUUCUGUUUGUGGAAGAGUUUUGUAAUCUUUUUAUUUAUUC
rnacentral:lncRNA from 1 species